AACGUAGGUGGCGAGCGUUAUCCGGAUUUACUGGGCGUAAAGGGUGUGCGGGCGGGCGACCAAGUGGUGUAUGAAAUCUCCCAGCUAAACUGGGAUAGGUUAUGCCAGACUGGUGGUCUAGAGUGCGAGAGAGGGGCGUGGAAUGCUUGGUGUAGAGGUGAAAUUCGUAGAUAUCAAGCGGAACACCGGUGGCGAAGGCGGCCUUCUGGACAGUGACUGACGCUGAGACGCGAAAGCGUGGGGAGCAAACAGG
rnacentral:rRNA from 1 species